UAAGAUUCCCUUUUCUUUAUUAUUUUACCUUAUCAUUAUUAGUUCCCUAGCUACCAGAGUGAUGAAACUUUCAUGAUAUAACCCACUACUCGAUCAGUCUCAGAGAUAAAAAGCAUAGCAGAAAAAUUAGAGAAUGAGCGAGGAGAGCACUUGGGUCAUGCACUUUCUUACCCACCAUGUGGAGGCAAAAUCUAGUCUGGUUUGAAGGGAAAAUUAUGAGUUUAACACAUGGGAUUUCUAAAUGACUAGCAUGCAUAUACAAUUCAAAAUUUAUAUACAUGAGCAACAGAAGCAAUUUAUCAAAUAAUAUCAAAGCUAUAGUCAUGCAAAUCCCCUUCAAGGUUCAUAGGUUUAUAUAUAAUGCAUCAAAACAUUCAAGUAAAGAACUAAGUGAAAGUUUAGAUCUAUACCUCUUGAUCUUGAUUUUAGACCAAGGAUGGACCACCUCCAAGUCCUUUGCUCCUUGAAG
rnacentral:lncRNA from 1 species